GUAAAUUAUACAAAUCCUAAAGUAGAGCCGCAGAGGGCUGACUGGCUGAAGGGCGAGGCUGAGGUGAAGUCUGACCGUCUGAGGAUGUGAGGACUGAGGAGCGAGGGCGGAGGCGACGGCCUGACCGGAGUGUCGCCGAGGGCGAAGGACGUGAGGGCCCAGAGGCGGUGAGAGACGAC